CAUGUAGGCGGAUUAAUAAGUUUGAAAUGAAAUCCUAUAGCUUAACUAUAGAACUGCUUUGAAAACUGUUAAUCUAGAAUGUGGGAGAGGUAGAUGGAAUUUCUGGUGUAGGGGUAAAAUCCGUAGAGAUCAGAAGGAAUACCGAUUGCGAAGGCGAUCUACUGGAACAUUAUUGACGCUGAGAUGCGAAAGCGUGGGGAGCAAACA
rnacentral:rRNA from 1 species